AGUCGUAACAAGGUUUCCGUAGGUGAACCUGCGGAAGGAUCAUUAAUGAAUUUAGGGAAUUGAUGCUGGCCUUUGUGCAUGUGCUCGUUCCCUCUAAUCCAUACAUACCUGUGCACUUGUUUAUCGGAGUCGCUAGUAAAAUAGAGACUCUGGUUAAUCACAUACUCUUAUAAUUUACUUUGAAUGUUUAUCAAGUCGAAAGACUUUUAAAUUAAUACAACUUUUAACAACGGAUCUCUUGGCUCUCGCAUCGAUGAAGAACGCAGCGAAAUGCGAUAAGUAAUGUGAAUUGCAGAAUUCAGUGAAUCAUCGAAUCUUUGAACGCACCUUGCGCUCCUUGGUAUUCCGAGGAGCACGCCUGUUCGAGUGUCAUGAAGCUCUCAAGCGAUAAUAACUUUAUUGUUGUUAUUUAGCUUGGAUUUGGGACCUGCUGUGUUACAACGGCUGUCCCUAAAUGUAUUAGCCGGCUCUAAUGGAAGACUAGGUUCUUACUCGGUGUGAUAAUUAUCUUACGCUGAGGACAUUUCUCUUGUAAAAGGGAGAGAUGGCCAAGACUACUUUUAGGCUGCUUCUAAUCGUCUCUUCUGACAAACAAAUUAUUCAAAUCUGACCUCGAAUCAGGUGGGACUACCCGCUGAACUUAAGCAUAUCAAUAAGCGGAGGAAAAGAAACUAACAAGGAUUCCCCUAGUAACGGCGAGUGAAGCGGGAAAAGCUCAAAUUUAAAUCUGGUAGCCUUUGGUUAUCCGAGUUGUAAUCUAGAGAAGUAUUUUCCGCGUUGGACCAUGUACAAGUUUCCUGGAACGGAACGUCAUAGGGGGUGAGAAUCCCGUCCUUGACAUGGACUACCAGUGCUUUGUGAUAUACUCUCAAAGAGUCGAGUUGUUUGGGAAUGCAGCUCAAAAUGGGAGGUAAAUUCCUUCUAAAGCUAAAUAUUGGCGAGAGCCCGAUAGCGAACAAGUACCGUGAGGGAAAGAUGAAAAGAACUUUGGAAAGAGAGUUAAACAGUACGUGAAAUUGUUAAAAGGGAAACGCUUGAAGUCAGUCACAUUUAUUUGGACUCAGCCUUACUUCGGUCUGGUGCAUUUCCUUAUAAAUGGGUCAGCGUCAAUGUUGCUCGGUGGAAAAAGGCGGAGGAAAUGUGGCUCUUUCGGGAGUGUUAUAGUCCUCUGUCAUAUACAUCGAAUGAUAUUGAGUGGUACAGCAUGCUUUUAGUGGUG
rnacentral:rRNA from 1 species